CCCUUAGAUGUUCUGGGCUGCACACGUGCUACACUGGCAGGUUCAGCGAGCUUCAUGCCCUGAUCUGAAAGGAAUGGGAAAUCUUUUCAAAACCUGCCGUGCUUGGGAUAGAUGUUUGCAAUUAUUCAUCUUCAACGAGGAUUGCCUUGUAAGCGCACGUCACCAGCGUGCAUUGAAUACGACCCUGUAUUCUGUACACACCGCCCGUCGCUCCUACCGAUUGAAGUUUUCGGUGAGUUGACAGGAGGAUUUUUUUGAAACUGGUUCGCCAGUGGAUUUUAGAUCCAAAUGCCAACGAAUCGAUGGCUUUAGAGGAAGGAGAAGUCGUAACA
rnacentral:rRNA from 1 species